CCUACGGGAGGCAGCAGUGGGGAAUAUUGGGCAAUGGAGGCAACUCUGACCCAGCAACGCCGCGUGAAUGAUGAAGGUCUUCGGAUUGUAAAGUUCUUUUCUAAGGGAAGAAGAAAGUGACGGUACCUUAGGAAUAAGCCUCGGCUAACUACGUGCCAGCAGCCGCGGUAAUACGUAGGAGGCAAGCGUUAUCCGGAAUGACUGGGCGUAAAGGGUGCGUAGGUGGUUUGACAAGUUAGUAGCGCAACUCCGGAGCUCAACUUCGGAACUACUACUAAAACUGUUGGACUUGAGUGCAGGAGGGGCAAUCGGAAGUCCUAGUGGAGCGGUGGAAUGCGUAGAUAUUAGGAGGAACACCAGUGGCGAAGGCGGAUUGCUGGACUGUAACUGACACUGAGGCACGAAAGCGUGGGGAGCAAACAGGAUUAGAUACCCUAGUAGUC
rnacentral:rRNA from 1 species